rnacentral:rRNA from 1 species
AUGAAACGCUAGCGGGCAAGGCUUAAUACAUGCAAGUCGAGGGGCAGCAGGGGUGUAGCAAUAACAACUCGCUGGCGACCGGCAAACGGGUACGGAACACGUACGCAAAUCUACCCAGAAACUGGUGAAUAGCCCCUCCGAAAGGGAGGAUUAAUACACCGUAACAUAUUGAGAAAGGCAUCUUUUUAAUAUUAUAGCUCCGGCGGUUUUGGAUGAGCGUGCGGCCUGAUUAGGUAGGUAGUUGGUCGGGGGGUAAUGGCCCACCAAGCCAACGAUCAGUAACUGGUGUGGAGAGCACGGACCCAGUCACACGGGCACUGAGGACACGGGCCCGACUCCUACGGGAGGCCAGCAGUAAGGAAUAUUGGUCAAUGGACGCAAGUCUGGAACCAGCCAUGCCGCGUGAAGGAUGAAGGUCCUCUGGAUUGUAAACUUCUUUUAUGGGGGGACGAAACCCGGGAAUUCUUUUCCCGAUUGAACGGUACCCUAGGAAUAAGCACCGGCUAACUCCGUGCCAGCAGCCGCGGUAAUACGGAGGGUGCAAGCGUUAUCCGGAUUCACUGGGUUUAAAGGGAGCGUAGGAGGGGCAGGUAAGUCAGUGGUGAAAUCCCCGUGGCUUAACAUGGGAACUGCCCGUUGAUACUAUCUGUCCCUUGGAAUACCGUGGAGAUGAGCGGAAUAUGUCAUGUAGCGGUGAAAAUGCUUAGAGGAUGACAUAGAAACACCAAUUGCGAAGGCAGCUCGUUACACGCAUAUUGACUCUGAGGGCUCGAAAGCGUGGGGAUCAAAACAGAUUAGAUACCCUGGUAGUCCCACGCCCUAAACGAUGGAUACUCGACAUACGCGAUACACUGUGUGUGUCUGAGCGAAAAGCAUUAAAGUAUCCCCACCUGGGGAAGUACGACCGCAAGGUUGAAACUCAAGGAAUUGGCGGGGGGUCCGCACAAGCGGUGGGAGCAUGUGGUUUAAUUCGAUGAUACGCGAGGAACCUUACCUGGCUAGAAUGCUGGUUGGACCGAGGGUGAAAGCUCUCUUUGUAGCAAUACACAACCAGUAAGGUGCUGCAUGGCUGUCGUCAGCUCGUUGCCGUGAGGUGUUGGGUUAAGGUCCCCGCAACGAGCGCAACCCCCAAUCAGUAGUUUGCCAUCAGGUAACGCUGGGAACUCUACUGAAAACUGCCGUCGGUAAGACGCGAGGAAGGAGGGGAUGAUGUCAAGUCAUCAUGGCCUUUAUGCCCAGGGCUACACACGUGCUACAAUGGGGGCGUACAAGGGCUGCCACUUAGUGAUAAGGAGCCAAUCCCAAAAAAAACGCCUCUCAGUUCAGAUCGCAGUCUGCAACUCGACUGCGUGAAGCUGGAAUCGCUAGUAAUCGUAUAUCAGGCCAAUGAUACGGUUGAAUACGUUCCCGGACCUUGCACACACCGCCCGUCAAGCCAUGGAAGCCGGGUGUACCUAAAGUCGGGUAACCGCAAGGAGCCGCCCUAGGGUAAAACUGGUAACUGGGGCU